CAGCCGCCACGGUAAUACAGAGGGUGCGAGCGUUAAUCGGAUUUACUGGGCGUAAAGCGUGCGUAGGCGGCUUCUUAAGUCGGAUGUGAAAUCCCUGAGCUUAACUUAGGAAUUGCAUUCGAUACUGGGAAGCUAGAGUAUGGGAGAGGAUGGUAGAAUUCCAGGUGUAGCGGUGAAAUGCGUAGAGAUCUGGAGGAAUACCGAUGGCGAAGGCAGCCAUCUGGCCUAAUACUGACGCUGAGGUACGAAAGCAUGGGGAGCAAACAGGAUUAGAUACCCCUGUAGUCCCUGUCUCUAUACA
rnacentral:rRNA from 1 species